rnacentral:rRNA from 1 species
GUAGGGUGCAAGCGUUAUCCGGAAUUAUUGGGCGUAAAGCGUUCGUAGGCGGUUUGAAAAGUUUGUGGUUAAAUCCGGUCGCUCAACGAUCGAAUCGCUACAAAAACUAUCAGACUGGAGAGUGGCAGAGGCAACUAGAAUUCCACAUGUAGGGGUAAAAUCCGUUGAUAUGUGGAGGAAUACCAAAAGCGAAGGCAGGUUGCUGGGCCAUUUCUGACGCUUAGGAACGAAAGCGUGGGGAUCAAACAGGAUUAGAUACCCUGGUAGUCCACGCCUUAAACUAUGAAUACUAAGUGUCGGCAGUUUACUGCCGGUGCCGCAGCUAACGCAUUAAGUGCCCCGCCUGGGGAGUACGGCCGCAAGGUUA